rnacentral:lncRNA from 1 species
UGAGAUAAUAAAAUAUUUUAAAGAUUAUGAAUUACUGAAUGAUUGGGAUUAUAAAGAAGCUGACUGUCAGUCGUCCCUAACGCAGAUAACAAAAGACUUAAUGAAUGAUACGACGAUUUCAAGUUUGAAGGUUAAUUGCUUCACAUUUUCAGCCAAAUUUAUAUCGAAAAAAAUAAUAAUAAUAAAAUGGAUAGCACACUGCCUUUCUUAAAAGGAAGAAGAAAUGGAUGGGCAUAGACAGAAGAUUUAUUGGAUGGUUCACGACUAAUAUGGUAGACUAGGUU